rnacentral:lncRNA from 1 species
GUUCGCUGCUACCUGAGAUAGUGGUCGGGAGAGUUUGAGGGUUUGCGAAAGAGUUUACUGAUCGAUCCGAAUAAAAGUGAAAUGUGUGGUCGGGCGCGGUGGCCCACGCCUGUAAUCCCAGCACUGUGUGAGGCGGGGGCGAGCGGAUCACCUGGGGUCAGGAGUUCGAGACCAGCCUGGCCAACAUGGCGAAACCCCGUCUCAAUUAAAAAUACAAACAUUAGCCGGGCAUGGUGGCGGGCGCCUGUAAUCCCAGCUACUCGCCUGUAAUCCCAGCUGAGGAAGGAAAAUCGCUAGAACCCGGGAGGCGGAGGCUGCAGUGAGCCGAGAUCUUGCCAUUGCACUCCAGCCUGGGCGACAAGAGCGAAACUCCGUCUCAAAAAAAGAAAGAAAAUAAAAAGUGAAAUGUGGAUGUAACAACGCACUUUUAAAAAAAGUCUAAACAUCUGAGGAAUGUGUCUGUGCUUGCAGUGUCCAGCCAGCACAGAGACUGCACUCAAGGGAUGUGGGAACGGCUGAUUGAACGUGAACUGCGGUCAUUAAAUCUUUUAUGUCUGUGUUAAUAUCUACAAAUAAGCCUUAAUUUCUGUAGUUUCUGCAUAUCUCACACGGUUCCUGGCAAAUUGAAGAGUGUUUCAUGAAUUCAGGACUUUAUUGUGUUUGCUGUGAAUCAGUUUGUUUUGUACUGACGAUGAUGUUGGCUAACUCCCUUGUAACUAGUACUUAUUUGAAAUAAUGUCCUCGGGAUUAUUUUAAGCAAUGUUUAAGUAUGAAAUCAUUUCAUUCUCCUAACAUCUCAAGGAAUAUACUAUUAUAUUCUACUUUACAAAAGGGGAAACUGAGGAACGGGGAAGUUAAGUGGAAGCUAAGUGGAAGAAUCCAGAUAAUUGACCUCUCCUUCUAUUGGUAUGCAAUUGCUAGAGCAAUGAUAGUCCUCCGGUAGAGCCUUAGACAUUGUGUUUAUUGCAUUCCUGUUCCACCCACUGCAUUCCGGAUACUCCAACUUACUUCCAACACACAUAUGCAGGCGUCUCUAAAAUUCCGGAGAUAUGGUCACCAAUUAUUUUUAUGUGCGACAUGCUCAAAUCUUAAUAUAGUAAACGCUUGUAUAUUCAUAAACCAGCUUAAUAAAUGAAACAUUACCAUUCCUGUUGAAGAGCUUUGUGUAACCACCUUCCCAAUCACGACUACUCUCUGACUCUGAGAUAACUGCUCUUCUGAACUUGGUAUUCAUCGUUGCAAUGUAUGUCUUUAUAUUUCUGCUACAUAUGUAAGUAAGCAGUAUAUAACAUUCUAUAUUUUCUUUUCCUACUUUACUUAUCGUUACCUUUACUAGGUCCAUCCGUGUUGACAUAUAGAGAUAUUCAUUUAUUUUCCCUGUUGUUAUAUGGGAGUUCCAUGUAGAAACAUACAGUAAUGUGUCUGUUUUUCUGUUGAUGGUAAUUUAAAUUGUUUCCAACUUUACGAUUUCUUUGUUGCUCUAUCCAUUUUCUUUCUAGUCUCCAGCAUCAAUUAAUGUAGUGUCCAUUACCUUUUUAAAGCUCCCUCCUCCCUGUUUCCCAUGAAGCCACCUGAUUUCUUUUUCUUUACCUCUCGAAUUUCUUCUUCUCAGUCUCAUUCUUUGGCUUCUCUUGCAUAUCCACUCUAAAUAUUGCUGUUCGUCAGGUUUCUACCCUCAGCUUUCACCCCUUCUGACAUUUUACAGUUUCUCUGGGUGUUCUUGUCUUCUGCUCAGCCUUAACUUCCCCACUCUAGGCAGAUUACUUCUAACACAGAUAGAUCUCUUCAUCCAUUAAAUUGCCCCCUAGAAAGCCAAGAUUUCUCACUGCCCUCAGUGUCAGAUCUAUGUCACGUAGCUUGACAUACAAGCUCCUUCAUAAUUUGACUAUCUCUGUUGUCUCUCUCCUUGCUACAUUCUUCCUGGCAUGUCUUCUCUAGAUACACAGAACUGCUUGAACUUUCUGAUGUCCUAUUGUUGCUGUCUGGGUCUUUUCAUAGGCUGCUCCUUUAUUUAGUCGGCUAACUUCCAUUCUUUUCCCAGCCUUGGUUUGGGGCACCUUCCCUAGAAAGCCUGUUUCUCUCUAACCCUCAUCUCUCCUCCCUUGCUUGUUUAGCACCUCACUGCUGUGCUCCCUGACAUCCCUGUAGCAUAACACUUAGAACAUCCAAUGAUAAACAUCUUUUUAGAUGGUUUUCCUUCCAGAGUCUGAAAGCCCUUUGAAGGCAAGAACCAUGUCUCAUUCAUGCUUACAUUCCCUAU